UUCCGAAACUGUCACUGUGUAUUUUAUACAGUUAUCAGUACUUUUACUUGUAAUGGAGUAUUUUUAUUGUGAGGUAUUUGCACUUUUAACUGAAGUCAAACAGCCGAGCAGUAAAUGGAAUCUGAUGAAUUUAAGAGAUGAAAAUGUGUCAUCAGUUUGUAAGUACUCACUACAGCGCCCAGCUCACGUCCUCCUCGCUGUAAUCCGUCCUCUCUCUCUGUGAGGAUAUAAAGCAUGAAUCAUGUCACCUAAUUUACUGCCGCUCGCUUCAAAGCCACGUCGCAGCGUGAGAACUGUGUCGGCUGACCGGAGCAGAUUUACGGCCAGCAGCGUCGUUCCCAGGCCUGUCGGCCUUUAAUCCUCCACUGAGCUGGAAGUGACACUGUUUUCUGCUCUGGGAGGAUUUACCGGCUGUAACGGCGAUUGAGCCACAAGACGAAGGCAAAGAGAAGUGUGUGUGUGUGUGUGCGUGCAUGUGUGUACAGUGUGGUUGGUCACACCUGCCAACAUACUGAGGUAAAAACGUUUGCCUCGUGGUGGAAGACGUGCUGUUUUGUCCAGCCCUGAGGAAGAUCACAUGACCUGACUGAAUAAUUCAGGAAAAUAAAGUCUCGUCUUCUAUUUACCCUGGCUGUGCUUCAGGAGUGGACUGGAAGCAUCUUCAGGUGAUCCACAGUCAUCUGGAGGAUUUCUGCCUUCUCCAGUUUAGCUGAACUCUGACAGAGAGGGACGACAGAUAAAGUUCACACCGAUUCCAGUAAAACAUCAUCUUUUGAGGGUGACUCCAAACCAGGCCUGCGGGUUGAUCCACUUUAACCAAGUACUGAAGUUUUACAUGAAAUAAAAACCAUG